AACGCACAUUGCGCCCGCCAGCACUCUGGCGGGCAUGCCUGUCCGAGCGUCAUUUCAACCCUCGCGCCCCCCAGGGGGCUCGGUGUUGGGGGCCGGCCCUGGCCGCCCCCGAAAUGCAGUGGCGACCUCGCCGCGGCCUCCCCUGCGUAGUAGAGCACACCUCGCACCGGAGCGCGGAGACGGUCACGCCGUAAAACGCCCCAACUCCAGUAGUUGACCUCGGAUCAGGUAGGAAUACCCGCUGAACUUAA
rnacentral:misc_RNA from 1 species